rnacentral:rRNA from 1 species
AUGACAGGGACCCGCAUUGCUCAUCUGGGCUCUGACAUGCGGAUGAAGCUUAAAGCGGCGUACACCUUGAUGGAACAGCUAUAUUUUGGAUCCCAGCGUGCUAUUUGCACUGCAACAUAUAACAAGCCGGCGCCAUCGUUGAUAAAGGAAACACUUGAGAAGCUGGCCAUGCUACCUGUCCAGAUCACCGAAUUGAAGAGAUCAGCCGCAAGAUCAGGAGCAUUGACCGCGCUAAUCCGGGUGAAGGCAUGGAUUCCAGAUCUUGAACCGGCAGAUAUCAUCAAAGGAUAUCCUGGCGUGAAAGAGGACGGUUCAAACUUCAAUAACGAUGAUCGGCGAAGGCUAAUAAAGGAGAUGCGGCCAAUAGCAAGCAAACUGGCGGAAGACACAGAUUUAUCUCACUUCCAACUGGUUUACAAUGCUGAAGGAAAGAGACAGCCUGCCGUGAUCCAUGAUGUUGAAGAACUUGUGCCUCCAAUCCAUAAGCAUACUUACGCUCCUGACAUUGACCCCUCCAGCCUUGUCCAUGAAGAGGUCGUACUUCAAGCUUUAACCGGAAUCGAUUGGUCAACGGUUGAUUUCCAGCGUCUGGGGAGGGAUGAAGAGGAUGUGACUGCACAAGAUGACCCUCAAUCGUCAAGCCGUCCCGAUGAAGCAUCUUAG